UACGUAGGGGGCUAGCGUUGUCCGGAAUCAUUGGGCGUAAAGAGCGUGUAGGCGGCCCGGUAAGUCCGCUGUAAAAGUCAAAGGCUCAACCUUUGAAUGUCAGUGGAUACUGUCGGGCUAGAGUCCGGAAGAGGCGAGUGGAACUCCUGGUGUAGCGGUGGAAUGCGCAGAUAUCAGGAAGAACACCAAUAGCGAAGGCAGCUCGCUGGGACGGUACUGACGCUAAGGCGCGAAAGCGUGGGGAGCGAACAGG
rnacentral:rRNA from 1 species